rnacentral:rRNA from 1 species
ACUCAAAUGAAUUGACGGGGGCCCGCACAAGCAGCGGAGCAUGUGGUUUAAUUCGAAGCAACGCGAAGAACCUUACCUAGACUUGACAUCUCCUGAAUUACUCGUAACUGAGGAAGCCCUUCGGGGCAGGAAGACAGGUGGUGCAUGGUUGUCGUCAGCUCGUGUCGUGAGAUGUUAGGUUAAGUCCUGCAACGAGCGCAACCCUUAUCAUUAGUUGCUACCAUUAAGUUGAGCACUCUAGUGAGACUGCCGUGGUUAACGCGGAGGAAGGUGGGGAUGACGUCAAAUCAUCAUGCCCCUUAUGUCUAGGGCUACACACGUGCUACAAUGGGUAAUACAAAGAGAUGCAAUACAGUGAUGUGGAGCAAAACUAUAAAAUUACCCUCAGUUCGGAUUGUAGGCUGAAACUCGCCUACAUGAAGCUGGAGUUGCUAGUAAUCGCGAAUCAGCAUGUCGCGGUGAAUACGUUCCCGGGCCUUGUACACACCGCCCGU